rnacentral:lncRNA from 1 species
AUGGAAAAGAAAUGCAAAAAAGCAAAAUGGCUGUCUGGGGAGGCCUUACAAAUAGCUGUAAAAAGAAGAGAGGUGAAAAGCAAAGGAGAAAAGGAAAGAUAUAAGCACCUGAAUGCAGAGUUCCAAAGAAUAGCAAGAAGAAAUAAGAAAGCCUUCCUCAGCGAUCAAUGCAAAGAAAUAGAGGAAAAGAACAGAAUGGGAACGACUAGAGAUCUCUUCAAGAAAAUUAGAGAUACCAAGGGAACAUUUCAUGCAAAGAUGGGUUCGAUAAAGGACAGAAAUGGUAUGGACCUAACAGAAGCAGAAGAUAUCAAGAAGAGGUGGCAAGAAUACAUGGAAGAACUGUACAAAAAAGAUCUUCACGACCCAGAUAAUCAUGAAGAUGUGAUCACUAAUCUAGCGCCAGGCAUCUUGGAAAGUGAAGUCAAGUGGGCCUUAGAAAGCAUCACUACGAACAAAGCUAGUGGAGGUGAUGGAAUUCCAGUUGAGCUAUUUCAAAUCCUGAAAGAUGAUGCUGAGAAAGUGCUGCACUCAAUAUGCCAGCAAAUUUGGAAAACUCAGCAGUGGCCACAGGACGGGAAAAAGUCAGUUUUCAUUCCUAUUCCAAAGAAAGGAAAUGCAAAAGAAUGCUCAAACUACUGCACAAUUGCACUCAUCUCACAUGCUAGUAAAGUAAUGCUCAAAAUUCUCCAAGCCAGGCUUCAGCAAUACGUGAACCGUGAACUUCCUGAUGUUCAAGCUGGUUUUAGAAAAGGCAGAGGAACCAGAGAUCAAAUUGCCAACAUCCGCUGGAUCAUGGAAAAAGCAAGAGAGUUGCAGAAAAACAUCUAUUUCUGCUUUAUUAACUAUGCCAAAGCCUUUGACCAUGUGGAUCACAAUGAACUGUGGAAAAUUCUGAGAGAGAUGGGAAUACCAGACCACCUAACCUGCCUCUUGAGAAAUCUGUAUGCAGGUCAGGAAGCAACAAUUAGAACUGGACAUAGAACAACAGACUGGUUCCAAAUAGGAAAAGGAGUACAUCAAAGCUGUAUAUUGUCACCCUGCUUAUUUAACUUAUAUGUAGAGUACAUCAUAAGAAAUGCCGGGUUGGAUGAAGCACAAGCUGGAAUCAAGAUUGCUGGGAGAAAUAUCAAUAACCUCAGAUAUGCAGAUGACACCACCCUUAUGGCAGAAAGUGAAGAGGAGCUAAAAAGCCUCUUGAUGAAAGUGAAAGAGGAGAGCGAAAAAGUUGGCUUAAAGCUCAACAUUCAGAAGACGAAGAUCAUGGCAUCUGGUCCCAUCACUUCAUGGGAAAAAGAUGGAGAAACAGUAGAAACAGUGUCAGACUUUAUUUUUUUGGACUCCAAAAUCACUGCAGAUGGUGACUGCAGCCAUGAAAUUAAAAGACGCUUACUACUUGGAAGAAAAGUUAUGACCAACCUAGAUAGCAUAUUCAAAAGCAGAGACAUUACUUUGCCGACUAAAGUCCGUCUAGUCAAGGCUAUGGUUUUUCCUGUGGUCAUGUAUGGGUGUGAGAGUCGGACUGUAAAGAAGGCUGAGCUCCAAAGAGUUGAUGCUUUUGAACUGUGGUGUUGGAGAAGACUCUUGAGAGUCCCUUGGACUGCAAGGAGAUCCAACCAGUCCAUUCUGAAGGAGAUCAGCCCUGGGAUUUCUUUGGAAGGAAUGAUGCUAAAGCUGAAACUCCAGUACUUUGGCCACCUCAUGCGAAGAGUUGACUCAUUGGAAAAGACUCUGAUGCUGGGCGGGAUUGGGGGCAGGAGGAGAAGGUGA